rnacentral:rRNA from 1 species
CAGCAGCCGCGGUAAUACGUAGGGUGCGAGCGUUAAACGGAAUUACUGGGCGUAAAGCGUGCGCAGGCGGUUAUGUAAGACAGGUGUGAAAUCCCCGGGCUUAACCUGGGAACUGCGCUUGUGACUGCACAGCUAGAGUAUGGCAGAGGGGGGUGGAAUUCCACGUGUAGCAGUGAAAUGCGUAGAGAUGUGGAGGAACACCGAUGGCGAAGGCAGCCCCCUGGGCCAAUACUGACCCUCAUGCACGAAAGCGUGGGGAGCAAACAGGAUUAGAUACCCCAGUAGUCCCUGUCUCUUAUAC